UACAGAGGUCUCAAGCGUUGUUCGGAUUCAUUGGGCGUAAAGGGUGCGUAGGCGGCGCGGUAAGUCGGGUGUGAAAUCUCGGGCGUUAACUCCGAAACUGCAUUCGAUACUGCCGUGCUUGAGGACUGGAGAGGAGACUGGAAUUUACGGUGUAGCGGUGAAAUGCGUAGAUAUCGUAAGGAAGACCAGUGGCGAAGGCGGGUCUCUGGACAGUUCCUGACGCUGAGGCACGAAGGCCAGGGGAGCAAACGGG
rnacentral:rRNA from 1 species